rnacentral:rRNA from 1 species
GACGAACGCUGGCGGCGUGCUUAACACAUGCAAGUCGAACGGAAAGGCCCUGCUUGCAGGGUGCUCGAGUGGCGAACGGGUGAGUAACACGUGGGUGAUCUGCCCCUUACUUUGGGAUAAGCCUGGGAAACUGGGUCUAAUACUGGAUAGGACCAUGCUGUAGGUGGUGUGGUGGAAAGAUUAGUUUCGGUAAGGGAUGAGCUCGCGGCCUAUCAGCUUGUUGGUGGGGUAAUGGCCUACCAAGGCGUCGACGGGUAGCCGGCCUGAGAGGGUGGACGGCAACGUUGGGACUGAGAUACGGCCCAGACUCCUACGGGAGGCAGCAGUGGGGAAUAUUGCACAAUGGGCGCAAGCCUGAUGCAGCGACGCCGCGUGGGGGACGACGGCCUUCGGGUUGUAAACUACUUUCGGCCAUGACGAAGCCCUUGUGGUGACGGUAGUGGUAGAAGAAGCACCGGCUAACUACGUG